UUGAACGCUGGCGGCAGGCCUAACACAUGCAAGUCGAACGGUAACAGGAAGCAGCUUGCUGCUUCGCUGACGAGUGGCGGACGGGUGAGUAAUGUCUGGGAAACUGCCUGGUGGAGGGGGAUAACUACUGGAAACGGUAGCUAAUACCGCAUAACGUCGCAAGACCAAAGAGGGGGACCUUAGGGCCUCUUGCCAUCGGAUGUGCCCAGAUGGGAUUAGCUAGUAGGUGGGGUAACGGCUCACCUAGGCGACGAUCCCUAGCUGGUCUGAGAGGAUGACCAGCCACACUGGAACUGAGACACGGUCCAGACUCCUACGGGAGGCAGCAGUGGGGAAUAUUGCACAAUGGGCGCAGGCCUGAUGCAGCCAUGCCGCGUGUAUGAAGAAGGCCUUCGGGUUGUAAAGUACUUUCAGCGGGGAGGAAGGGAGUAAAGUUAAUACCUUUGCUCAUUGACGUUACCCGCAGAAGAAGCACCGGCUAACUCCGUG
rnacentral:rRNA from 1 species